rnacentral:rRNA from 1 species
GAUGAACGCUGGCGGCGUGCCUAAUACAUGCAAGUCGAGCGAACAGACGAGGAGCUUGCUCCUCUGACGUUAGCGGCGGACGGGUGAGUAACACGUGGAUAACCUACCUAUAAGACUGGGAUAACUUCGGGAAACAGGAGCUAAUACCGGAUAACAUGAUGAACCGCAUGGUUCAACAGUGAAAGACGGUCUUGCUGUCACUUAUAGAUGGAUCCGCGCCGCAUUAGCUAGUUGGUAAGGUAACGGCUUACCAAGGCAACGAUGCGUAGCCGACCUGAGAGGGUGAUCGGCCACACUGGAACUGAGACACGGUCCAGACUCCUACGGGAGGCAGCAGUAGGGAAUCUUCCGCAAUGGGCGAAAGCCUGACGGAGCAACGCCGCGUGAGUGAAGAAGGUCUUCGGAUCGUAAAACUCUGUUAUUAGGGAAGAACAAAUGUGUAAGUAACUAUGCACGUCUUGACGGUACCUAAUCAGAAAGCCACGGCUAACUUCGUG